rnacentral:snRNA from 1 species
AGAUGGGAGGGUGAUCUGGCUAUGACAUCUGUCACCCCAUUGAUCACUAGCGUUGAUCUGGCUGGCUGGGCGGUGUCCCCUUCCUCCCUCUCCACUCCAUGUGCGUCCCUCCGGAAGCUGUACACUAGGUCACAGAGGACGACCUUCCCUAAGUAAAGGGGGACAGAACUUGGGUCAAGGGUAUCUGAGUAGCUGCACUCUCCUGCUAGAACCUCCAGAUGAGCUCUCAGAUCAGGAUUCUGUGGCUACCUCAGCAAAUUGCACAAACUUAGUGGCUCAAAACAUGUUUAUUAUCU